AGAAGUAAAAGUCGUAACAAGGUUUCCGUAGGUGAACCUGCGGAAGGAUCAUUCAUAAUAAGUGUUUUAUGGCACUUUUUUAAAUCCAUAUCCACCUUGUGUGCAAUGUCAGGGUUGAUUUUUCUCUCGAGAGGAUCAACCCCAAACAUCAACUAUAUCUCAACUCUUUGUCUGAAAAAUAUUAUGAAUAAAACAAUUCAAAAUACAACUUUCAACAACGGAUCUCUUGGCUCUC
rnacentral:misc_RNA from 1 species